CCUGUGGCUGGAAGGCAGUGUGCUGUUAGCGGCUGCUGUGCUGAAUGGAGCAGUCACUACCACACUGCCACCUGCUGCAGGGAUAGACUACUGC
ensembl:miRNA gga-mir-449b gga-mir-449b